UGGGGAAUUUUGCGCAAUGGGGGCAACCCUGACGCAGCAACGCCGCGUGCGGGACGACGGCCUUCGGGUUGUAAACCGCUUUCAGCAGGGCAGAAAUUCGACGGUACCUGCAGAAGAAGCUCCGGCUAACUACGUGCCAGCAGCCGCGGUAAUAAGUAGGGAGCGAGCGUUAUCCGGAUUCAUUUGGCGUAAAGAGCGCGUAGGCGGCCUCUCAAGCGGGAUCUCUAAUCCGAGGGCUCAACCCCCGGCCGGAUCCCGAACUGGGAGGCUCGAGUUCGGUAGAGGCAGGCGGAGUUCCCGGUGUAGCGGUGGAAUGCGCGGAUAUCGGGAAGAACACCGAUGGCGAAGGCAGCCUGCUGGGCCGCAACUGACGCUGAGGCGCGAAAGCUAGGGGAGCGAACAGG
rnacentral:rRNA from 1 species